GGAUAACCCCCGGCCCCACAAUAGCGCGGCGCGGCCGCUGCGCCGGUGCUACCGGGCGGCCCACGGGUGUUUCACCGGCACCCCCAGCCCCGCUACACCUCCGCUCCCUGCCCUCCCCUCCGCACCCCGCGGCCCGCCGCGGCCUCGGCGGAGCGCAGCCCGCAGUCCUGGUCCUCGAAGCUCCGGCGGUGCUCCUUGCCCUGCCAGUCCAGGCGCCGCGGAAUCAGCUGCAGGAGGGACACGGGGACGGGAGCGGCCGUCAGAGCCCGAGCGACCCCUCCCCGGGAAGCCCCCCCAUCUUCCCUCCCACCCCGCUUGGUGCCCGUCCGCGCCCCCGGGAUGGAGACCCCCGGCCGCUGCCCCCGGCCUCGCCGCGGGGCAGCCGCGCUCCCGCCGGGUGUCCCGGACGGAGAUGGGCUGGGUUAGACGGGGCAGGGCAAACGCCGACCCCGCUGUCCCGAGGGCUUCCCCCGUCCCGCCGGGGCAGGCGCCUUACCUGGUGCUCCUCCAGCUCUUCCACGAGUACCUGGGGACAGAGGGACACACAGACACACACAAAGGACGUGAGUCCAACGACCGCAGCACAGCGGCUCCGCCGCCCCGUCCCGUCCAGUCCCGUCCCGUCGCCUCCCGCCCGGCCCGGCCGGAGCGCCGGCUCCGCGCUCACCUGGGCGGAUUUCUUGCAGGGUCCGGACUGCAGGAACCGUGCGAUCAGGGCCAAAUCCUGCAUUUUUGGCUGCUUCUGGAAGCCUGGGCACAAAGCAUCUGACUGCAACUGGGAAUUCAUCACCUCUCCCUGGACAUGCAAGUUUCCCUGGAACUCCCUCAGCUAAACAGGUUUGUUUUCCCCUUGUUUCUGCAUUAAAUAACAGCAACAGGUGGAAAUUUAGAGAUUUCUAGAGAAAUUCCAAAGCCUCUCUGGUUCUCUUCAUCCCAUGAGCAUCCCAGCCAGGUUGGAACUGUGGUGAUUCAGCCACGGCACUGCUGGAAACCAGAAAAAGUGGAUUAAAAGGAAUGAGGUUAUGGAGUAUGAAAAAAUACUCCAAAACAACUGUGGAGGAAGGAAGAGGAGGUUCUGCUCGGGCACUGGCAUCCAGACCGUGCCUCUCUCCUUCCCAUCGAUAUUUCUUUGCAAUCUCGCAUUCUCUGCAGCCUACGGUCUUUGGGAGAGCAGGGAAUAGCUGCUGUGGCUCCCUGCUCCCUGGCAGCGCAGGAGGGAUGAGCCGAGAUUGAAAUCGUUUUCUACCAUUGACGUGAGGACAGCUCCAACGCCGGCUCCGACUCCACCCACAUCACUCCUGCAUCCCAUCUCUGCAAGAAAAAGUGAUCACUUGUCUUACCUCCUGGUUUAAUUAGUCCCUGCUCCGGGGCUAAUUAGGAGCGCGGUCCGCGCGGAGGUUGGGGCUGGAGCCCUCCCUCCCUCUCCCAUUCCCGCUCCCGCCGCCACUCCCGCGCCCGCUCCCACUCUGUGCCAUCUGCCAUUGCCGUGACACUGGCUUUGCUUUUCACGCCUGGAUGGGCGCGCUGGAUGCGCGGGGUAAUGGGGCUGUUUCCCCCCCCACCUUGGUCUUUGGAAAGGAAGUAAUAAUAAAUAACCCAGGAACGGCUGGAACUGCUGCACACUGCCCUUUUCCUUCCCACUUUUGAAGCUUUUUAGCAUUCCGUUUUCCAGCAACUGGGAGGAAAAUUGCCCUGAAAGAAAGAAACAAAAAUCUGUGCUAUUUUUUAAACCAACCUCCCCCCCACCCCCCGCCCCGCACCACACAGGCAGCUGCAGAGAAUUUCUCUUCCAAAGGGAUGAUGUAAUGGGCUUUGUCAGCCAAUACUCAAAUGAAUAAAACCCGACACCCGAAAUCCAUCUAGGCUUUUGAUGAAACUCCUGAGGUUCCUGGAGCAAGUGGUCACCAAAAUAGGCUGGAACCGCUGGUUUUGUCAUGCAGCUCUUGAGAGAAGUGCGAUGGAGAAUCAAGGGCUCCAACAAGGGAAUAACCAAAACCACCAGAUUUUGUCCCUUCUGAGGGAAAUGGGACCUUGUGGGACAUCUGGGGACACUCAGUGAAGCAGUGCACAGCCCUUGGUGCUGGGACAUCAACCCAGGCUUCAACAUCCACCACAGAGUUACUCCUGAUCUGAAAAUGGCACCUACAACCACAUUUUAUAGAGAGAUAAUAUUAAAUAUGUGUAUAUUUAAUAUUGUGUAUAUUAUAUAUAUUACAAUAUUAUUGCUCAGAGAAGCUGUGGCUGCCCCAUCUCUGGAAGUGUCCAAGGCCAGGUUGGAUGGGGCUUGGAGCAACCUGAGCUAGUGAAAGGUGUCCCUGCCCAUGGCAGGGCUCGGAACUUGAUGGGUUUAUGGUCCCUUCCUACCCAAAGCAGUCUGUGAUAUGUAUAAAACAUAAAUAUAUAAACUAUACACAAAUAUCACCAAUUCCUGCUGCAGCAAUGGGAACAUUAUUGCUCUCCCAAGGAUGUCGUGGACUUCUGAGGCCAGGAGAUCUCUCCUCUCACUGUCUGACUUAUCCCAAGUCUCUGGUUAGCUUUCUUUGGGGCCCCUUUAGGCACUGUAAGAGGCUCUAAGGUCUCCCAGAGCUUUCUCCAGAAAACCCCCAGCUCUCUCAGCCUGUCCUGGCACUCCAGAAGGGUCCCUGCUCUUGCAGGGACAUCACACUUCCAAGUGAUGGAGGAGAAUCAUGGAUACAUUUUGCCUUGGCUGCUCUCUGGGCCCUGAUUGUGCAUCCUUGCUGGGCAUUCCUGCAACAGGAGCUGGGACAGAGCUGCUGCCACCAUCCCCCAGCCCUGCUGAGCCACCACCAUGGUGCCACAUCCAGUGACACCCUGAGAACUUGGUAUGUGCUCCUGAUCCCUAUGCUGUCACCCCAGGCAGCUGGAUAACCCCAAAUUCCCAGGGAUGACCUGGCUGUGUGUGCAGAGCAGCCGUGCAGGAAUCCCCGCCAGGGACUACCAGCAGAAGCUACAGCACCAAGUGAAGCUGAGAAGAUUUAUAGCCAAGAUAGGCCAAAAAGGGGAUUGGAAAUAAUUCCCGAGCCCAAAUGGAGCAGCACUGGAAGCUGGGAAUCUGGACCCCUUCUGCAGCCAUCACCUCACCUUCAGCACCAGCAGUGCCCAGCAAACCUGGGCCCUAUGGUGGCAUUUGGGGAGGGAGUUUUGCCAAGGGCAGGAGGAUGUGGUCCCCUUUUCCCCCCGGGAAAAAUUCAGCUCUAAUGGAGAAUAUUUCCAGGAACACACCUGCUCAGGGGGAUGUGCACAGCCCAGGUCAGUGGCAGGGACACAGGUGGUACCUUGGGUACAUCCUUGCCAUGUGUCUGUCCCCACCAACAGCCACAUACAGUGGACAGCAGGGAAGUUUUCCUCCUUUCAAAGUGUCCCGAAUGUGGCUGGAGGGGCUCAGACCAAAGGGGAGGUACAAACCUCUGUCCCCUCACCCCCCCAGCUCCUUCCAGUGGUCCAGAGCCAGGGAUAAUUCCAGAUCUUUUCCCACCACCAGGAGCUGCUGGCCCUGCACUCAUGUGUCUUUGUGUCCCACAGCCCCACCAGAUCAUCUUCCAAGAAUUUGUGUAAUCACUUCCUAAGCCAUUAUGAUUCCUGGGCUCGAUUUGGGCAAUGAGUUACAUGGUGUAAUUACUCAUUGUGUGAAAUAUGUUCAUUUUGCAUCUGCCACUCUGUAAUUUCAUUUGGGGCCUCUUUGUUUGCUUUGUGUCCCCACACAAGAGGCAUCGACCCCUAUUCACUGUCCCUGUGCCGCUGCACCAGGGAAUAAAAAUCCCACCACCUUUCCCUCCCGUCUGUCAAUUCUUUGCAAGACAAAAAGGGUAAUUUGUUUAAUUGUUGCUGAUAUAAUGUCCUAAAAGUCUCCUUUCCCCUCCAACAGUUAAUUACACUUGUUAAUGAUUUUAAUUAUUCCCAGAGUAAUGCUGUAGGUAUAGAAGAGCAUAGGAGUAAACAUGGUGCAGGGAAGCUGGGGUUUACUCCAAGAUCUCCGUUGAUAACCAGACUGUGACCACAUGAAUGGUGGAACCAGAGCAGGGAAUGUUUUGCCUGGAUUUGGAACUUUCUGUGGGCAGCAUGGAAAGAUUUAUAGGAAGAGAAGGCAGAUCCUGCAGGAUUGCCCUCGGAUGAUGCCUGGAGAGGCAACUCUGGCCUUUCUCUCCUGGCAGAGCUGACACGAAAGGGAACCCUGACUUGGGGAAGUACUUCUGGUCAGCACCUCCAUGACGCUGGAUUUAUACGAAGGAAGAAACCAAACCAAGCAAAAUUCCAGCCUGCUGGAAAGCUGAGGUUCAGCCUGAGGCUUAUGGACAGCCCACCUCCCAACUCCAGCCAUGUUCUGAGGGGAGAGGUGGCCCCGGAUCUGUGAAACAGCAAAGCUUGUUUGUGGUGUCACAGAGCAGCCUCUGCCAGCGCCUCCAGAGCCAGGGUGAAAUCCGAGAGCUGCCGCAAUCCAAACCUUCUCCACAGCUCCUUUUAUCUUCCUGGGGGGAAAACAAACAGUGCAGAAGCCGGAGCUUUGUGGCUGGGAUGUCGCACAUCUGGUUUGAGCUCCAAGAAAUGCACUUCCACCCCCUCCCCGAAUUGUUCAUGUUAAACAAACAAAACCUUGGCAAUUUUGUGAGAUUUUGGCUCUGGGAUAACUUUGGAGCAGCUUUGACUGAGAAUUCUAGGCUUCUGCUAGAAGUUCAUCCCUAGUGGAAGCAGCACACCUCACUAGCCGGGAGGGAGGCACUUCCAAAGGGGAACAGCUGUGCCCUGGAACCCCCUUACAUGAAAUGCUGCUGAGAGUGAGAGAAGGGAAUCUUCUUUGUGUUUAGGUUUCAAUCCAGCAUUUUUCCCUGUGUUAUUUAUGCUUUCCCCCCUCCCCCCUUUUAAGAACGUCUGGAAUUGUUUAAGAUGUGUCCAAUUGUAUUAAGUUGCCUUUGACAGCUUUAUGGUGUCAGUUGGAUUCCCACUCUUAGGAACAGAGCUUUCCAAUUUGCCGUUUUCCCCUUUUCUAGCACAUCAGCACCAACUUCCUUUCAGUGCUUUCAGGUGUUACCUCAGCCUGAAGUUCAUGCUAAUCCCUGGACAUCACUUCCAUUUGAGACAGUUUGAGUGAUUCCCUGGUUGGUGCUGCAGGAGGAAGGGAGUGCCAUUCCUCUGGGAUCCUCUCCCACCAGCCCCUCCCUGUCGCCUUCUAGCAGGGGUGGAUAAAUCAGAGCAGAUCAUGGAAUCAUGAAGUCACAGAGUGGUUUGGGUGGGAAGGGACCUUGGAGCCCAUCUCAUUCUGUGCCCUGCCAUGGGGCAGGGACACCUUUCACAAAACCAUAUUGCUCCAAGCCCUGUCCAGCCUGGCCUUGGACACUUCCAGGGAUGGGGCAGCCACAGCUUCUCUGGGAACAGAUGAAAGGUGUGGGAGUAGUUCCAAUCCUCCCUCCAUCCCCUCCUUGACUUACCUAGCCCAAUUCCAAUCACACCCCUCCCAAAGCAGGCGAAAUGGCCACAUGAGUCACCAGUGACAUCUGUCCUCUGUCCAUGCUCACUUGUGACCACCUUUAGCUCCUCUGGGCACUGGGACAGUCUCUGGAAGCCACAUUGACAUUUUUCUCUCCAAGGACAGAGGCUCCUCGAAAGCUGGCCAGGGCCGGGCCCGGGGUAUUCCCGGCUCCUGGAGCCCAUCCAAGGCAUCAAGUUUCAGAGCGGGGGCUCCUGGCAGCUGCACCGGAAAGGAGCAGCACCACUGGGACAGUCAGAGGGAGGAGCCAUCGUUUCCAUUGCAGGGAUUCAAUUUUCUUUCUCCUUCAUCAGGUUAACACCAGUGUUACUCCAUUAACUGCCAGGGAUCUGCUCUUGAUCUGACAAUCAGACCUGUCAGAGUGUCACAAAAUCCCAGACUGUUUUGGUUUGGAAGAGACUUCAAAUAUCCUCUGGUUCUGCCCCCUGCCAUAGCUAGGGAUACCUUCCACUAUCCCAGGUUGCUCCAAACCCCGUCCAGCCCAGCUUUGGACACUUCCAGAGAUGGGGCAGCCACAGUUUCUCUGGGCUCCUUGUUCUAGGGCUUCCCCACCCUCAUGGGGAAGGAAUUCCUUCCCAAUAACCAAUCUAAAUCUAUCCUCCUUCAUCUUAAAGCCAUUUCCCUUUAUCCUGUCUCUCCAUCCCUUGUCCAGAGACCCUCUCCAGCUCUCCUAGAGCCUCUUCAGGCACUGGAAGGGGCUCCAAGGUAUUCUCAGAGCUUUUCUUCCGCAGGAACACCCCCAGCUCUCCCAGCCUGGCUCCAGAGCAGGGGGGGUUUCUUUGUUUUUGUGUACAGUCACUUCACUCAAAGGAGCAAAGGUAGAUAUGGGAUGCAGCUGCAAAACCCUUCCUUUUAUUUGCUUGGAGGGGUUGUUUUAUUUUAUUUUCCUCCAUUUCUCCAUUUUCCUCCAUUUUUUUCACAUUCUAAGGACCUCACUAUGAUUUCCAUUCUCUGCUUGCUGAGGCAGCUGUGCCUUUUCUCUCCUGAUCCUCCUGUCCUGCUCCAGCACACUGCUGAUGGUGGAAACCAGGAUGAAGUCUGGAGGUGCUCCCUCUGAUUUCCCCAUCCCUCUCAGGACAGUGACCAAUGUUUCUGAAGUAGUUUUCAGUGGGCUUAUUGUUCUGAGCAAACAAAAGCAAAUGCUUGCCCAGUUCUGUUGAAGAUCCAUGAGGACACUGUGUGAGGACACUGAGUGAGGACACUGAGUGAGGACACUGCUGCUCUGGGAGCCUGCACCAAAAGCUGGAUCAUGGAAUUACAAGAACAUUUAGGCUGGAAAACCCUCCAAGUCCUUUGAGUCCAACUGCUCCCCCAGCACUGGCAAGACCACCACUAGACAUGUCCCCAAGUGCCACAUCCAGUUAAAUUCCCUCAGGGAUGAGACUCUAGCCUGUGCCAGGGCUGGACAGCCCUUUUUUUUCCCUAAUAUCCAACCUAAACCUCCCCUGGUGCUACCUGAGGCUGUCCCCUCUCAUCCUGACAAGGUGCUCGGACACCUCACCAUGGCAGGGUGUUGCCAAUAUCACUCAAAUCUCAUCCCAUGACAUCACCUCAGAACCAUCCCUAUCUUCACACCCAUGAAUCUCAUCACCAUUGCAUCUUCAAGGUUUGAUUGUUAUGAUGAAUAAUGAUAACCAGAUCCAGAGCGAUCUGUGGAUCUUUCCUAACCAGCAUCAGAUGUGGUAAUGCCUGGAGCACAGGGAACAGCCAGCCAAGGACCUCAGGGAAGGCACUUUCUCCAACAAACUCCAUAAACCUGAAAGUAGGUUGACUCAAGAGUUUAAAACCUCUUCUUUUCAGACAACAUCAGCCAAGCUUGGGAGCUGCCAUGGAGCUGGCCUUGGACUCAGUGUCUAGACACCAGGACAGCCUUGGAGGAGGGUUUGCAUAAACCAGACAAUACAUUCAGUUGUGCAACUCUCUCAAUACCCCAUGGCUUCGAAAAGUUAUGAAUUUGAGCAAAAUGUUGUUGGGCAAUUUUCUGUACUUAUUUGAAAGACGAAUUUGAUUAGAACAAUAGUUAUAGAAUUAAGAACAACUCCCACCCUGGCACUCAAAAAAGAAAUAACCAAAGCCAAACACUCAGUUGUAUGUUCUGUGUAACAACCUCUAGACUCAGAUGAAGAGACACAACUUGGGAUCAGAGUGACCUCAUUCCAAAGGGUGCUUGUACCUUGGCAGAUGGAUGGAUCCUGUGCUAAGAAAAUAACUAUAUUCAGUGUCUGCUGCUGAAAUCACAAUGCCUGAGAUACUCCGUGACUGGAGGCUGGAGCCAAAGAGAGAUGGUCCCAUAGCACCAGGGCUGGGAGAAGGGGCUUCACCUUCCUACAGGACUGAAAUUCCUGUUAGAAGCCCUUUUAGAGAAACCACUGGGGUGAGAAACAACAUAAAUCUAAACUAUUUCCAAUAUGCCUUCUCCUCCUGGAGCAGUACAGGCCCAUUGGGAUUCUCACCAGCUGCUGGCUAAACUCAUGGAAUCAUGGAAUCCUGGAAUGAUUUGGGUGGGAAGGGAACUUAGAGAUCAUCUAAUCUACCCCUUUCCAUGGGCAGGGACACUUUCCACAGCCCUGUCCAGCUUGGCCUUGGAUACUUCCAGGGAUGGGGCAGCCUGUGCCAGGGCCUCCCCACCCCACAGGGAGGCAUUUCUUCCCGAUAUCCCAUCUGUGACCUCUGUUUAAAACCAUUUCCCUUUGUCCUGUCACUAUGUUCCCGUAUAAAAGGCCCCUCUCCCUUCUCAGGCACUGGAAGGGGCUCCAGGAUCUCUCACAGCCUUCUCUUUUCCAGGCUGAACACCCCCAGCUCCUCAGCCUGUUUUUGUAGAGUGGAAACUUGAUUAAUCAUUUUUAGAUGUCAGUCAGGAUGACAUUUGAACUAUUGUUGGAUCAUGUUCCCAUUCCCCAUGUUCCAACUGGGAUGUUCAGUCUCCCUGGUUUUACCCACAUCUCACCACACUUUACCAGUUACUGCUCCAUCAGUUUUCAGUGGAGAACCCAGAGCAUGCCCCAAAAUCUCUGCUGGAUUAAGGCAAUACAGUGCCAAGGAAAAGGCCCCUCAGAACUCCCUCACCUUCACUGCUGAGGAAGCUGGAGCCCAGUUAACCCAAACAUUUGUACAAAACAGGUGGAGCAGCAGGAAUAAAAAUCCCAAGUGCUUCAGGCCUGGAAAAUUAAAUCCACAUUUAAAUAUCCUCUAGUGGCCCUGGGGGACUGAUCCUGAACACCACUGAAUCCAAGACAUUCUCACUGAGAUGCUGUUUGGGGUUUGGACACAAAAUAUUUAAGCUCUUGGCAUUUCCCAUUGCUGAGCUGAGGAACAGUUUAAUGGGAGAGAGAAGGUUUCUGCAUUGCAGACAUUUUUCUUCUUAUUAAAUGUAUCCUGUAGCUGGUCACGGAUGUGAAGAGACUCUAUAAAAGCAGGUUUUCGCAGGAGUUGAUAGUUGCACAAAAAAGCUGUAACAACAGAACUGGGACUUAACCCCAGUUCACUGGUCUGUCCAGUUCUUUCCCAGAAUAAGGAAACCUGGAUUAAUAGGACAUCACACAACUGAGGCAGAGAGGGGCUCAAGCCCCAGCCAAAAGCCCAAAGCUCUCCAGCUCCAUGGGCUCUCCCUCUCCCCUUGCAGCUCUCCGGGAAUUUGGGAGCUUUCCAGCAGCACAAGCAACAAACCACAAUCAGCUUUUGAGGAGUCUUUUUUAUUAAGAUAAAUCCAGCAAAAUUCCUAACAGUGGGUACAUACAACCAACCUGCCCUUUUUGAAAAGAAAUGUUUGUAUUUCAUUUAAAAACAGGAUUACACUUUUAUUUAUUUAUUUUUCUUUUUUUUUUCAAAA